AGAGUUUGAUCCUGGCUCAGAUUGAACGCUGGCGGCAUGCCUUACACAUGCAAGUCGAACGGCAGCACGGGGGCAACCCUGGUGGCGAGUGGCGAACGGGUGAGUAAUACAUCGGAACGUGUCCUGUAGUGGGGGAUAGCCCGGCGAAAGCCGGAUUAAUACCGCAUACGCUCUACGGAGGAAAGGGGGGGAUCGCAAGACCUCCCGCUACAGGGGCGGCCGAUGGCAGAUUAGCUAGUUGGUGGGGUAAAGGCCUACCAAGGCGACGAUCUGUAGCUGGUCUGAGAGGACGACCAGCCACACUGGGACUGAGACACGGCCCAGACUCCUACGGGAGGCAGCAGUGGGGAAUUUUGGACAAUGGGGGAAACCCUGAUCCAGCAAUGCCGCGUGUGUGAAGAAGGCCUUCGGGUUGUAAAGCACUUUUGUCCGGAAAGAAAUCCUUCGAGUUAAUACCUUGGGGGGAUGACGGUACCGGAAGAAUAAGCACCGGCUAACUACGUGCCAGCAGCCGCGGUAAUACGUAGGGUGCAAGCGUUAAUCGGAAUUACUGGGCGUAAAGCGUGCGCAGGCGGUUCGCUAAGACAGAUGUGAAAUCCCCGGGCUUAACCUGGGAACUGCAUUUGUGACUGGCGGGCUAGAGUAUGGCAGAGGGGGGUAGAAUUCCACGUAGCAGUGAAAUGCGUAGAGAUGUGGAGGAAUACCGAUGGCGAAGGCAGCCCCCUGGGCCAAUACUGACGCUCAUGCACGAAAGCGUGGGGAGCAAACAGGAUUAGAUACCCUAGUAGUCC
rnacentral:rRNA from 1 species